CCUCUUUUUGGUUUCCUCGGCAGGUAGUUUUGAUUGAAGCUCUUCUAUGAUCUUGUUUUCCACUAUCGGAUGCCUCGAGACCAGCCAAAUGAACCAAGUAAGAGCAGAGCUGGUGGUGUCCCUCCCUGCAAGCAUCAUGUUCAAAAUGGUAUCUCUCAAGAACUUAUCAUCACAUUUCAAACCUGUUGGUUUUUCUUCAGUUAUGUAUGAUGUUAAGAGAUCCACACCGUCUGCACCAUUUUGUGAGACCAACCCUUUUGUCCUCGUAUCCAGUUCUUUCCUUUUCUGGCAUAUAUAUUUAGUCAUAAUAUCGUCAAGAACUUCCCAUGCCUUUCUAUAUUUUUGUUCUUGUCCCAUUUUCAACCACCUCUGCAACUUAAUAAAGCUCUGUGGCCUGACAUGCCGAUAAAAUAUGGCUUCCUCAACAUCAUCCAAGGCUUUAGAGAAAGGAGCUUCAGGGAAUUCGAGGGAGAGACAUUUAGGGUCGUAGCCAGUGACCAAGAUGCACGUAGUAUCAAACGUAAACCUUUGGAAUACAUCUUCUAAAUUGACCACCAAGCCUUGUUUGGCAACAUAGUCAAUGACAUGAAUAAGCCCUUUUUCCACCUUAUCUCGGGUAGUCCUCAACAAAAAUUUGAGAAACAGAUGAUUUCUCAUGAAUUCUUGAGCAACUAUCCUCUGUUUUCUCCACAAAUCCAUGUCGGUAUUGAAAAUUCCGUUUCCCAAGACGUCGAAAAGCUGCUUGAAUUCAGGUCCUUUGGGGAAGUUGUUAAAGUUGGAACUCAUUAUGUAGUGAACAUUGGCAGGAUCACAGGUCCCAAGGAUGUUCAUCUUAGCAAACCAAGGGCCAUUGAAAAGAAAAGUAUAGUGGCAUCUCUCAAAUGUCUCAGUACACCAAUCGUGAAUCCGGUGAAUGUUAAGGAUAAGCUCAGGCAGCAUCCCAACAAU
rnacentral:lncRNA from 1 species